AGCGACUUACGUUCAGUAGCGAGCUUAACCGAGUAGGGGGAGGCGUAGGGAAACCGAGUCCGAAUAGGGCGCAUAGUUGCUGGGCGUAGACCCGAAACCAAGUGAUCUAUCCAUGGCCAGGUUGAAGGUGCCGUAACAGGUACUGGAGGACCGAACCCACUAGUGUUGCAAAACUAGGGGAUGAGCUGUGGAUAGGGGUGAAAGGCUAAACAAACUUGGAAAUAGCUGGUUCUCUCCGAAAACUAUUUAGGUAGUGCCUCACGUAUCACUCUCGGGGGUAGAGCACUGUCAUGGCUAGGGGGUCGCGACUUACCAAACCAUAGCAAACUCCGAAUACCGAGAAGUGCGAGCGUGGGAGACAGACAUCGGGUGCUAACGUCCGGUGUCAAGAGGGAAACAACCCAGACCGCCAGCUAAGGUCCCAAAUGACGUGCUAAGUGGUAAACGAAGUGGGAAGGCAUAGACAGCCAGGAUGUUGGCUUAGAAGCAGCCAUCAUUUAAAGAAAGCGUAAUAGCUCACUGGUCGAGUCGU
rnacentral:rRNA from 1 species